GUCUACGGCCAUCCCACCUGGCAACGCCCGAUCUCGUCCGAUCUCGGAAGCUAAGCAGGGUCGGGCCUGGUUAGUACUUGGAUGGGAGACCUCCUGGGAAUACCGGGUGCUGUAGGCU
rnacentral:rRNA from 1 species